AAACUGAUCUCGGUGGAAAUCAUAUUAUUUUCUCCACCACAGAUUCUCACCAUCCAUUCAUAUCUAGAUAUAAUCCCAUGUUUUUAUCUGAUUUGCCAAAAAUUCAAGAGGAGCCAACCAGGAACAGUUAUUGAGAAUAGGCUUAAUCAUGACCUUUGACCUCAGCUUAACACUGGAUCAUAGCUGUCUCAUCUACAACAUGAUGCAUAUGUUGGAAUCAGUCAGAGCAUUUCCAUAGAGAGCCACUUUGCAUCAGCAGCACCAUGCUCCAGUGCUCUGGGAGAGUUUAUAGUCCUGAGAGUUGAAGACUGGAUGACUGACAGCUGUCCUUCAUGACAACAGAAGCCACAGAAAUCCUCCUCAUCAAAAACAUGACUUUGAUCUCCGUCCUCAUCUGGACUCUCCUCUGCUGCUGCUUCACAGAGUCCAGAGGCCAGGUCACAGUGACUCAGCCUGGAGCAGUGAGAUCUGCUGUGGGAGGCUCCAUCACCAUCACAUGUAGAACCAGUCAGAAUGUUAAUUUUUGGAACAACAACCACCUUUUAGCCUGGUACCAACAGAAAGAUGGAGAAAGUCCUAAACUGCUUGUUUACUUUGCUAACCGUCGAGAAUCAGGGAUUCCAGAUCGUUUUACAGGCAGUGGAUCAAACUCUGACUUCACUCUGACCAUCAGUGGAGUCCAGGCUGAAGAUGCAGCAGUUUACUACUGUCAGAGUUUUCACUAUAUCAACAGUCAGAGGGUGUUCACACAGUGAAAAAGCGUCGUACAAAAACCUCCCUCAGUCAGACUGAACAGAAACUGAACUGACUGCUGCAGCUGGAAGCUACUGC